CUGGGGUCUCCUUCCACAGUGUGGAAGCUUUGUUCUUUCAGUCUUUGCAAUAAAUCUUGCUACUGCUCACUCUUUGGGUCCACACUGCUUUUAUGAGCUGUAACACUCACCGCGAAGAUCUGCAGCUUCUCUCCUGAAGCCAGUGAGACCACGAGCCCACCAGGAGGAACGAACAACUCCAGACGUGCUGCCUUAAGAGCUGUAACACUCACAGCGAAGGUCUGCAGCUUCACUCCUGAGGCAGCGAGACCAUGAACCCACCAGAAGGAAGAAACUCCGAACACAUUUGAGCAUCAGAAGGAACAAACUCCAGACACGCCACCUUAAGAGCUGUAACACUCACCGCCAGGGCCGCAGCUUCAUUCUUGAAGUUCCUGGAGAUGGAGCCCUAGCCAGGGACCAUGCCCUUCCCGUUUCCA
rnacentral:lncRNA from 10 species